rnacentral:rRNA from 1 species
UGGGGAAUAUUGCACAAUGGGCGAAAGCCUGAUGCAGCAACGCCGCGUGAGGGAUGACGGCCUUCGGGUUGUGAACCUCUUUUAGCAGGGAAGAAGCGAGAGUGACGGUACCUGCAGAAAAAGCGCCGGCUAACUACGUGCCAGCAGCCGCGGUAAUACGUAGGGCGCAAGCGUUAUCCGGAAUUAUUGGGCGUGAAGAGCUCGUAGGCGGUUUGUCGCGUCUGCUGUGAAAUCCCGAGGCUCAACCGCGGGCCUGCAGUGGGUACGGGCAGACUAGAGUGGAGUAGGGGGGAUUGGAAUUCCUGGUGUAGCGGUGGAAUGCGCAGAUAUCAGGAGGAACACCGAUGGCGAAGGCAGAUCUCUGGGCCGUAACUGACGCUGAGGAGCGAAAGGGUGGGGAGCAAACAGG